AAUCCGUGGUGGGGACAUUUCAAAAGCAGGUCCUUAAAUCUCUCCCAGCUCUCACAAAAUUUCUCCUCCUCCUCUUGAGAAAAAUCAGUUAUCUCCUGAUGAUAUU